GGCUGGGCACACUCCUGUAAUUCCAAUGGUUCAGGAGGCUGAGGCAGGAGGAUGGUAAGUUUGAGGCCAGCCUUAGCAACCUAGUGAGACCCUAAGCAACUUAUGAGGGACUGGAGGAACAGGCAGUGUCUCUUUCCAGAUCAUUCUUUCAUGACGCUCAAAUGUCCGUUUCCAAAGCUGCAGUGGUAGUCAUGAAGCAGUGGACUCCUCCAGUCCAGGAGCCGCAGUCUCCCCUGCUCUGGGCCGUCCUAGCCCCAGGCUUCUGGCUCUGCACAGCCCACCCUCUUCUCUGCAUCCAGCACAGGUUCUCAGUGUGACAACAUGUACUUUCUUCUCUAUUUUGUUUUGGUUUUUUUUUUUUUUUUGGUCACAAAAAUGGUCUCAGCUCUAGGUUUGCUGGACAUUUCUCCAACUGCCAUGUUGCCUUGCUGCUGGAAGUUGCAGGAACUGUUCUGGGGACUUGAUCCUUUUUCUGACUGGCACCUAUAAUGGCUCUAUAAACCCUUUUAUUUCAGAGAUUGCUCAGUUUCUAUAAUUUUGAUUUAACAUCUGAUUUUUUUAAAAAAUAUUUUUAGUUGUAGAUAGACACAAGACCUCUGUUUUGUUUCUUUAUGCGGCGCUGGGGACCGAACCCAGUGCCUCAGAUGUGCUAGGCAAGCGCUCGACCACUCAGCCACAACCCCAGCCCCUAACGGUUGAUUUUAAUGUGUAUACUAAGUGACCAGUUUAGCAGCAAAGGAGAAGCCGAAGCCUGUUUUCCUAGUUGGUGAGCCUGCACAAAGGUUCCUGUAACUGCCACAGAAGACUCUUAGGGGGCAUGAUGGACUAACGGUCCUCUGAAGAUUUCAUGUCUGGAAGUGAAUCAGGCAUAGUGCAGAAAUGACACACACGUUACAAUCUCUCCCCACUUCCUCCCAGACACCAGCGUGGGAACAUGGGAAGGGUGACACAGCUGGCUGCCGCCCAGGCUCCAGGGAAGGGGGGGCCGGCCUUGGAUCUGCGCCUCUUACGGUCCCUCCCACUCCAUGCUGUCAACGCCAGGUGCUCUCCUGAAUUAAAAAGCCAAAUUACAUCCGAUUUCCCUGUUGAACGGUGAUGCAAUUUUGGAAAGGCUUUUUCUUAAUAUCUAAUUGGUAUUUAAUUACUAGGGAAUUCUAUUUGCCCUUGGAUAUAAGAUGAAGAGAAGUUUGCCUUCCCUCUUGGCACCCUGGUCCCUGUUUUCAAUUCUCUUGUCCCUGCCACCUGGCCACACCACAUUCUGAUCCGGAUUGGAUUCUGAGAACCUGACCAUGUUUCCGUGGUGGCUGCUUUGGAAUAGCAGAGGGGAAUGACCGGAGGAGGAUGGAAAGGAGGAAGAGAUGGGCAGGGCCGGGGGAGGGAGACCCUGGGGGCUCUCCUAUCAAGUGUUAACAGCCUCAUGAGUCGAACUGUGUGCACACCUGAACUUGGACUUGUAAUGGUGUCUGGUUAGUACGGUCCACUAGCCCUGGCGUGGCUCUGUGUGGACCCUUCCUGGAGAGUCACUAGAAAUCCAUUUUUCAUCCGAGGGGGGACCAUACGUUCCUGAAAGCUCUUGACUCCCUAGGGGAGUGUCCGAAUGAUGUGUUUCUGAGUAAUAACACCCUAAAACGCGGUGACCUGAAACAGCCUCCCAUCUCCCACAGUGGGCUUGGCUGUGGGUUGAUGGGGCUCAGCAGGGGGUUCUCGCUCUCGGGGAUCCCCAGGUUGCCAUGUCAGUGGGGCUGAACAUCUGAGAUGGCUCCCCGAUAUGCUGAGGGAGCUGCCACCCGCCAGCUGGGACUGUCAUUUGGAGCGUGGCCUCUCCACGUGAUGCGCAGCUGGGGUCCAGGAAGGAAUGUUCCUGAGCAAUCACGCGGAGACCCAGCCAGGCGCUCCAAGACUUCUCAAGCCUCAGCCUCAAAGUCCCGAGCAUCACUUGUGCUGCACUCCGUUGGUCAAGCAAAUCACCAAGGCCGCCCAGGUUCCAGGGGCAGAAUGGGGCUCCACACCUUGUGGGGAGCAGUGCGGCCGCAGGCAGGGAGGCAGUGGAGGCAGCUGUCUUUGGAGGUUCUCCAGCUCAGGAAGUAAGAACUGGGACAAGGUGCAGCACCCAUCUUCCGACGUGCUGGAUGGGCCCACCCUCCGUCUUGGCUGACCACCCACUGCGCCAGCUGCACUGGGCACUUUCUAAACCUCAGGAGCCCCAGGGAACCUGUCCUAUGGGCAGACCAGCCAGUGUGUGACCAAGUAGACGGCCACACGGGCACAAGGUCUUCUUGCCUGUCCUCCCACACACUUUACAAAGAUUCCUCUGUGUCUCCAGCCCCCAGCCCCCACCUGGCUUCACGAAAAACCAGUCCUGUCCUGGUGGAGAAGGGAGGCCUCCUGUCCAGACAGAGGCCCUCCCAAAAUGUGACCUCACAGCCCUCCCCUCUUCCUUUGGGGGCUCCUAACACCGCCUGCCUGGAGUCGGACCAAGUGUCACAUGUAAAGGGCACAGUCCUCCCAGGAUAUCCCCCGCUUCGGACACCAAUUGCAAGAUCAGAGGUCCUCACUUCUGACCAGUUGGCUACAAAUUUGGGGGUUUCCCACAACAGACACCAGAAUCCACUGGAAUGACUCACAGUACCCAGGAAAAUGCUGAAUUCACUUUUAUGGUUUUACCAGACAAAAGACUAUAAAUCAGAACCAAACCACAGGGAGAGAUGCAUAGAGCCAGGUCUGCGAGGGUCCCAGAAGCAAAGCUUUGUCAUCCUCAGGGACACGUGUCCCUCCUGGCACGCUGAUGUGUGACAACUGGAGAAGCCCACCCCUGUGUUGGUGUCCAGAGUCUGGUUUUGUGGUGCUGGGGACAGAGAUGGCCAGAGAUCCCAGCAUCCGCCGGGCAGCGCUCCCUUCUUGGGCUUCUAGGACCUGAGGCCCCAACUGCUCCCCUGUUCUCCCAGCUGCCAGGCUGGGCUUCCCCCCUGUUCCCCAGGGUCCACUUUCUGCUGCUUCUGUCCUGCCAUUUCCAUCUGCCCAGUUCCCUGUAUUAAAUUACUGGUUGGCAUCAAGAGGUUGCCGUUUCCUUGCUUGGCCCCUGACUAAUAGAGGCCCCUGACAAAUAUUUCCAUCUCCCUCCACCUAAUGACCAGAGUGUUCCUGGGCUGCUGUAAGCACUUAACACGCUCAACCCUCACAAAGCCCUGUGGGGUCACAGUGUUUGUUGCCACCAUCCAGAGGAGCAAAGGCGACACAGGAGGGCAGAGCUGUUUGCCAAGGUCACAGGCCUGGAAAGAAGCUGGCUCUGGCUCUGGAGGCUACCCUGCAGCCUCCCUGUUUCCCUGGAUGGCAGUUCUUGACCAUGUACUACUCCAGCUGAUGGAUGAACCGUGACUGUCAUUCUACAUUCCUAGUUUGGAGGUUGUAGCUAUUUGGACCUCGGUCUCCCAGAACAUGUCAAAUCUGGAGCACUUGAGCCAGGUUUAUCCCUUCCCCGCAUCAUUUGCUUCAUGAUUUGUCAUAACCUGUCUCCCUGGAGUCCCCUCCUACCUUCUCAGCCCCUCUGGUCCUGACCUUUUUCCUCCCUCCUUUUCUUUCUAUUUUAUCCCAUCUUGCCAGUGCUGCUAAAAAUCUAGCCACAUGUCCAGGAAGCGGCUCUUAUUGGCAGGAGUUUCUGGAGUGCACUAGAAGGCUCUAGAUGGUUUCUAGGAACUGAAGGCUUCAAGCAUGUGUGGGUAUUUGGGACACCUUGAAUGCUUCCAGAGGCCUCCACCAGGAGCUUCUAGGACCCCAUGUGCAGGCAAGGCCCCUGUCCUGUUGAGGACUCUGGAUCUCAUGAGUUCACCCCGGAUUUUCCAGCAACCAUAACAGCAGCCGCUCUCUACCACUGUCCUUGCUGAAGUUGGGAAGGGUCACUCCCAGCAGGCUUGGCUCCUCUGCCCAGUGUUUGGCCCUUGUCCCCAGCAUGGUUUCUGGUAUCCUAUAGAGAGAAUCAGCUUAGAGAUCCAAGUUGAUAUUAUUUUUAGAAAUACAGAUCAUCUGUUCAGAGAAUGAAAACAGCAAAAGUCCUCAUAUUUUUCCAAAGUUCGAGUUGGAGUAGGGUAAUAUGGAUGCAAAACUCCUGAAUUAUUAGGGCCAGGGGUGUAGUAGCUCAGGGGUAUAGCGUGUGCUCAGCACGCGAGGGGCCCUGGGUUCCAUCCCCAGCACCAAAAAAAAAAAAAAAAAUGAAACAAAAA